rnacentral:rRNA from 1 species
UGGGGAAUAUUGCACAAUGGGCGGAAGCCUGAUGCAGCGACGCCGCGUGAGGGAUGACGGCCUUCGGGUUGUAAACCUCUUUCAGUAGGGACGAAGCGUAAGUGACGGUACCGAAAAAGCAAGCCACGGCUAACUACGUGCCAGCAGCCGCGGUAAUACGUAGGCGGCAAGCGUUGUCCGGAAUUAUUGGGCGUAAAGCGCGCGCAGGCGGUCACUUAAGUCCAUCUUAGAAGUGCGGGGCUUAACCCCGUGAUGGGAUGGAAACUGGGAGACUGGAGUAUCGGAGAGGAAAGUGGAAUUCCUAGUGUAGCGGUGAAAUGCGUAGAUAUUAGGAAGAACACCGGUGGCGAAGGCGACUUUCUGGACGAAAACUGACGCUGAGGCGCGAAAGCGUGGGGAGCAAACAGG